rnacentral:lncRNA from 1 species
AAGUUUAAUGGUGUGUCCUUAUCUACAUACAUUAUUCAAAAUUUGUUAUGCCAAGGCUAGAUAAUAAAAAAUAUUUAUUUUGAUCAUGAUCCAUAAAAAUAACUGUUCAGUACAACCUUUUACGACGAAACCAUCAAAUACAGCUGUAAAAUCUCUUCGGAUCCAAGGAAAAACCAACCCAGUUUCCAGAACAGCAACGAUAUUCUUGAUUCUCUGGUAGAUACCGGCAUGUGCAGAAUACUACUUCACUUUUCUGGUUAAAUUGAAUAUCAUACUUGACAAAAUUACUUUUAAAACGAAGAUUACCUAUUCAGAUUGAUGUCUAUUUCAACAUAAUUUCAUAAAUUUACACAUGCAGCUAAGUGAUACAAGACGUGCCACCUCAACGAAGUUCCUUUCGAAGUGACUUUUGGAAAAAUGGAACAUUUUGAUGAUUAUUACCAAUAAAUAAGGCUAUUAUGUGAUACAACUAUAAGUAAUUCUUUGAACUGGAAGGUACAUCUUCGGACACAUAAGCAGAGAAAGGCUCUCUAUGACCACUAGACUCUACAUCACUACCAUUCAAGUCUAGAAAUUUGCUGCAACCAGG